CAGAGUUGUUCUGGUGGAGAAAAUAGAAGGAAGAAGCUGCCAACACUUUGCCUGCAAGACUACUAUGACAUCAGGACCUGUUGUCAAAUCACAAUGAAAGGUGGAACAGAGAGAACAUAAAACUGCUGUGGAAAUGCAGCAGCCAGAAUUAAUUACCGUUUGAAACAGAAGACUUGUUUUUUAAAAAGAGGCAUUUGGUUCAGGAGAUGCUAUUACUCACAAGAUGAAUGAAAAAUACUUUUUGGACCUUCUGGGAGAAGAUAGUUCUGUGAAGGCAGUUCUGUGGAAAAGUGGAGCCAAUGUUUGUGGACAUUUUAACAUUUGUAGAUAAAAAGAGAG